rnacentral:ribozyme from 1 species
UCUUUCUUCUUUCUUACGUUCUUUUUUUUACUUUCUUUUUCCUACUUUCUUUUUCUUUCUUUUCGUGCGAUUGCG